AAGUUAUUUUCCCAGAGCUGUAGCACCUGCAGCUCCGGAAGGCCGCCGAUGAACUCCGGGAUGGCUCCGUGGAGCUGGUUCCGGAAGAGGUUUAGAAGCGUGAGAUUCUUGAGGUCUGUGAAUACCGGCGGGAUCUCGCCGGAAAGGGCGUUGUUCGAGAGGUCUAAUGAUUUGAGGCUAGUGAGUUUUCCGAGCUCUGCCGGGAUCUCGCCGGAGAGCCCAUUCACCUGGAGGAAGAGAGAGUCGAGCUGAUUUAGCCUGCCGAGCUCCGGCGGGAUCUCGCCGGACAGUCCGCAGCUGGCUGCGUCGAGCCGGAUGAGAUUGGUGAGGUUGCCGAGCUCGGCUGGGAGACCGCCUUGGUAGGUGUUGUAGUAACCGAUGUAGAGCUCGUGGAGAGUGUUCAAAUUUCCUAUUUCGGCGGGGAUGGGGCCAUUGAGCUCGUUGCCGGAGAGAGCGAG
rnacentral:misc_RNA from 1 species